CAUAAAUAUGCUCGCAUACGGCUGAAGAAUAAACAUUCUUUGAUGCAACCUUUAUUUGCAGAAAGAUGCGAUUGAACUUGAGAAAACAAAUUAUUCGCAGACUCAAAUUUGCGCCAUGAGUCUGUGUAAACAGAAUUAUCGGCAAUGCCCCCCUACAGCUACAUAACGAAGGAGAAAUUUUCAAAAAUCAAGAAAUAAAAAGCCUGCGUUUUUCUUUGCUGAUACAAUGAAGUAAUCACAGCGUUAAGCAUUGAAUUGUUAUAGAAUUGAAUGAAGCACGCGUUUGAGUUUCCCUUACCGUUCUGUGAUGAACAGGAUGGAAAAACCCAUCGAGAAGAACACUUCCAGAAAUAAGAAAUACGCACGCAAGAAUAAUGCUCCUAAUAUUAUAUCAUGUUUGUGUGAAACAAGAUGGUCGGAAGAAUAUAAGGAAGUUUUCACAAAAUUUUCCUGAAGUUGUGGAAGCUUUAAAAAGUGGUAAAUUCAGGGAAACUUUUCCACAAGAAUGUCUGCGUAUCAAUUGUGUGCUGCUAUAACAAGGCCGAUGUUCAUCAUUGCUUUAAUGGCAAUUGCUAAAUAUUCAACGUUGCUGGAACCUACAACACACAUUUUGCAAUUGAAGACAACCGACCUUAUCUCCGUUGAUCAGCAUAUUCAAAAUAUUUUGGAGGUGGUUACGAAUGAUCGAAAGACUGCAGAAGGUGUCAAUACGGAGUUAAUUAAAAAAUCUCGUAUGAUUACAAGUAUAAAUUUCUUUACCACAUUUGGCAGGUAAACAAAAAACAGAAAAAAACCCCGUCGGUCAAUGAAAAUGAGUAAUAAAACCGUAUAUGGACUCACUAAAGGCUUCUUUACAACUACACUUUUCCAAUGAAAAUACUCCAGCUUUUUCACUGUCUAGAUUGCACCCUCUGUAUUCUAUUAAAUAUUCCAGUAAAAAGGUACAAAAGAACGCGAAGCAUUUUUAACAGAUCUAUGACCUAGAUAUGGGAAACGAACUCAUUCUUUGGUACAAUUUAUGGAAUAAAAAGAACUUGUCCGAAGAAUUGUAGGAUGUUGGAAAUUGUAAAUCUAUUUAAAGAAGAAAAGAAGAAUUUAUAACAGCGAUACCAUGCACAACAGCGACUGUGGAGCGAUCGUUUAGUACACUUCGAACAGUAAAAACCUGGCUCAGAAGCACAACAGGAGAAGAAAGGCUUUCUAGACUAUGCCACAUGGGCGUCCAUAGAAAAGUCGUUACCGAGAACCGCAAGAUGAUUCAGGAGGAAAUAAUCGAAAAGUUUGCUUAAAAACCGAGGCGUUUGUUAUUAGCGUAAAAAUGAUUAGAUAAAAAAUAUGUAAAAAAAUUAA